rnacentral:rRNA from 1 species
UACGGGGGGAGCAAGCGUUGUUCGGAUUUACUGGGCGUAAAGGGCGCGUAGGCGGCCAGCGCAAGUCAGUUGUGAAAUCUCCGGGCUUAACUCGGAACGGUCAACUGAUACUGCGCGGCUAGAGUGCAGAAGGGGCAACUGGAAUUCUCGGUGUAGCGGUGAAAUGCGUAGAUAUCGAGAGGAACACCAGUGGCGAAGGCGACUACCUGGCCUGUUCUUGACGCUGAGGCGCGAAAGCUAGGGGAGCAAACGGG